rnacentral:tRNA from 1 species
GUGGGCAUAGCUCAGUGGUAGAGGGCAUGCUUAGCAUGCAUGAGGUCCUGGGUUCAAUUCCCAGUACCUCUA